UGCAGUUCGAACGAUAGCUAGCGAUACUAUAGUGGCGCACGGGUGUAGUAACACGCNCUNUUACCUCCCCCCAAGCGCGGGAUAACGGCUUCGAAAGAGCUGCUAAUACCGCAUAAGCUCACGAGCUAUAGAGGCUUGUGAGAAAAGGAGCAAUUCACUUGGGGACGGGGCUGCGGCCCAUCAGCUAGUUGGCGAGGUAAAGGCUCACCAAGGCGACGACGGGUAGGGGACCUGAGAGGGUGACCCCCCACACUGGGACUGAGACACGGCCCAGACUCCUACGGGAGGCAGCAGUGAGGAAUAUUGCACAAUGGGCGCAAGCCUGAUGCAGCGACGCCGCGUGAGUGAAGAAGGCCUUCGGGUCGUAAAGCUCUUUUCUGCGUGACGAGCAAGGACGGUAGCGCAGGAAUAAGUCUCGGCUAACUACGUGCCAGCAGCCGCGGUAAAACGUAGGAGACAAACGUUAUCCGGAGUUACUGGGCGUAAAGGGCGUGUAGGCGGUUUGUUAAGUCUGGCGUGAAAGCUCUCGGCUAAACCGGGAGAGGUCGUUGGAUACUGGCAGACUAGAGGACGGUAGAGGCGUGUGGAAAUUCCGGGUGUAGUGGUGAAAUGCCGUAGAGAUUCCCGGAA
rnacentral:rRNA from 1 species